GAUGAACGCUGGCGGCGUGCCUAACACAUGCAAGUCGAGCGAACAGACGAGGAGCUUGCUCCUCUGACGUUAGCGGCGGACGGGUGAGUAACACGUGGAUAACCUACCUAUAAGACUGGGAUAACUUCGGGAAACCGGAGCUAACACCGGAUAAUAUAUUGAACCGCAUGGUUCAAUAGUGAAAGACGGUUUUGCUGGCACGUAUAGAUGGAUCCGCGCCGCAUUAGCUAGUUGGUAAGGUAACGGCUUACCAAGGCAACGAUGCGUAGCCGACCUGAGAGGGUGAUCGGCCACACUGGGACUGAGACACGGCCCAGACUCCUACGGGAGGCAGCAGUGGGGAAUCUUCCGCAAUGGGCGAAAGCCUGACGGAGCAACGCCGCGUGAGUGAUGAAGGUCUUCGGAUCGUAAAGCUCUGUUAUUAGGAACGAACAGAUGUGUGAGUAACUAUGCACGUCUUGACGGUACCUAAUCAGAAAGCCACGGCUAACUACGUG
rnacentral:rRNA from 1 species